rnacentral:lncRNA from 10 species
CCUCCUCCUCCGCCUCCUCCUCCUCCUCCUCCGCUUCUGGCUUCUCCUCCUUCUUCUCAGGCUCAUCACAACAACUUUUACACCUCCUCCUCCUCCUUUUCUUCUUCUUCUUCUUCUUUUUUUUUUUUUAUGGCGUCUCGCCCAGCCUGGAGUGCAGAGGCAGUCUUGGCUCACUGCAACCUCCACCUCCGGGGUUCAACUGAUUUUCCCGCCUCAGCCUGCUGAGUAGCUGGGAUUACAGGCACCCUCAUCAAGUCCGGCUAAUUUUUGUAUUUUUAGUAGAGACAGGGUUUCACCAUGUUGGCUAGGCUGGUCUUGACCUCCUGACCUCGGGUGAUCCUCCUGCCUCGGCCUCCCAAAAUGCUGGGAUUACAGGCGUGAGCCACCACGCACGGCUUCUGUUGUUCGUUGAAAUCAUCAUUUUUCUAAUGUCCUCAUUCUCUGCUGGCUAGUUUAAGGGCUGAUUCAAAAAAUAAAUUUUCACACUGUGAAAUACGCAAGAUGAAGAGAACAUUUAUAAAAUAUCCAUACUGUGCAUCUCUGAAUAAUCUUUUCUUCACAUCAGCGGCAGUACAAAUUAGGUGGAGUUUUAAAAGAUACUUCAGCAACUUACAGAUUACAGCAUGUUAUGUAUCUUCAAGUGGUUUUAUCUCUUUUGAUUGAAGAAUUUAAUCAAUUUCUAUUCAAGAUAACUAUUCAUAGAUAUUUUGCUUCAUUGGUGUGCUUGAACAUUUCUGGAUUCCUAGACUCCCAGAAAGCAGUGAGAGGAUAUUACGUUGCAGAAUUUGGUCAGAAUAUGAAGUUUGGAAGACCCUAUAUUCCUGCAGAUCCUUGGAUUGAGGUUAAUUCGAGAGCAAGCCGUGAGUGAGAAAUCUGCCAUCAAAACCAAGUCACUGGCCCUACCACAUUUGCUACAACUCUGAUAUUCCACAUUUUACAAAGACAGAAUUUGGCUCUUGUUGUCCAGGCUGGAGUGCAAUAGCAUGAUCUCAGCACACUGCAAACCCCGCCUCCCAGGUUCAAGCGAUUCUCCUGCCUCAGCCUCCCGAGUAGCUGGGAUUACAGGUGUGUGCCACCACACCCAGCUAAUUAUUUUUUGUAUUUUUAGUAGAGAUGGGGUUUCACCAUGCUGGUCAGGCUGGUCUCAAACUGACCUCAGGUGAUCCACCUGCCUUUGCCUCCCAAAAUGCUGGGAUUACAGCCAUGAACCACCACAACCGGCCACUCACUGAACUUCGACUCUGUUCCAGGAACUACAAUAUACUUAAUGGAGUUUACCAAGAUUAGUUUUGCUGUAUUCAUCACUUUCAAAUACUUUAUUCUAUAGACUGAGCGAGACUGAAUCCUUGCUGUGGAAUUACCAAGUUCUGUUAAUGGACAAUUAUUUAACCCUGAAGAAAACAAAAAAAUUGAAAAUAAAAUGUCUGACA